rnacentral:siRNA from 1 species
GUUGGUGACCAUUUGCGUUUUGU